CCUACGGGGGGCUGCAGUAAGGAAUAUUGGUCAAUGGACGGAAGUCUGAACCAGCCAUGCCGCGUGCAGGAAGAAGGCGCUCUGCGUUGUAAACUGCUUUUAUAUGGGAAGAAUAGGCGCGAUUUAUCGUGUUGUGACGGUACCAUAGGAAUAAGCACCGGCUAACUCCGUGCCAGCAGCCGCGGUAAUACGGAGGGUGCAAGCGUUAUCCGGAAUCACUGGGUUUAAAGGGUGCGUAGGCGGUUUGAUAAGUCAGAGGUGAAAGGUUGUCGCUUAACGAUAAGACUGCCUUUGAUACUGUCAGACUUGAAUUGGGAUAAGGUAAGCGGAAUGUGGCAUGUAGCGGUGAAAUGCAUAGAUAUGCCAUAGAACACCAAUUGCGAAGGCAGCUUACUGGGCCUUGAUUGACGCUGAGGCACGAAAGCGUGGGGAUCAAACAGGAUUAGAUACCCCGGUAGUC
rnacentral:rRNA from 1 species